CAAACAAUCAUAAAACUCAAGUCUCACUCAUUCAAACUUACUCAAACAUGCAAAAUUUAUACAACAAGGCAGAUCCGUCACACUAUCUUCACGUUCAUAUGAACUAAGCACUUUGCAUAGCAACCUUUUAUUACACAAGCUCGAAAUAUAUUCAUGAUGAUUGAAUCUCACUUCAUCCACAUACUGAUCGACGUAACAAUUAUCAUUAGCAAAAUUUUCCUUGCCAUCAUUAAAAUCGACCACAUCAAGGUAUAGUUCUUUUCCAUAACCCACGUCAUAAGCAAUGUCUUUACUAUGAAUCGAAUAGGGUUGUUUAAAGGAUAUAGAAACCUCACCUUGCUUACCUUUAGGCAU
rnacentral:lncRNA from 1 species